rnacentral:rRNA from 1 species
GCAGUCGUGCGAUACCUUGAGCGAGUCUUACGACAAGUUCAAGGUAGAGCGGCGGACGGGUGAGUAACACGUGAGUAGCUGUCCUAAGGAGGGGGAUAACGCCUGGAAACGGGUGCUAAAACACCAUAUGCCUCGCAAGAGGUGAAAGUGUAGCUUGCUACAGCCUUAGGGUGUGCUCGCGGCCUAUCAGCUAGUUGGUGAGGUAACGGCUCACCAAGGCUAAGACGGGUAGCCGGCCUGAGAGGGUGUACGGCCACACUGGAAUUGAGAUACGGUCCAGACUCCUACGGGAGGCAGCAGUGGGGAAUCUUGGGCAAUGGGCGAAAGCCUGACCCAGCGACGCCGCGUUGGGGAUGAAACCCUUUGGGGUGUAAACCCAUGUUGUAGGGGACGAAGAAAGUGACGGUACCCUACGAGGAAGCCCCGGCUAACUACGUGCCAGCAGCCGCGGUAAGACGUAGGGGGCGAGCGUUGUCCGGAAUUACUGGGCGUAAAGGGCACGCAGGCGGUGCGCCAAGUCGAGGGUGUAAAGUUACGGCUUAACCGUGACAUUGCAAUCGAUACUGGCGCGCUGGAGUGCGGGAGAGGGAAGUGGAAUUCCCGGUGUAGCGGUGAAAUGCGUAGAUAUCGGGAGGAACGCCAGUGGCGAAGGCGGCUUCCUGGCCCGCGACUGACGCUCAUGUGCGAAAGCCAGGGGAGCGAACCGGAUUAGAUACCCGGGUAGUCCUGGCCGUAAACGAUGGGUGCUAGGUGUAGGCGCGUCAAGCGUCUGUGCCGAAG